rnacentral:sRNA from 1 species
GUAAGUACUAUGACAGCAGGUAUUAGUAUGUAGAGUAAGUACUAUGACAGCAGGUAUUAGUAUGUAGAGUAAGUACUAUGACAGCAGGUAAGAUUUAAAAAAAAAUAACGGUUUAGUUUGUCUUUAUGUUAAGGAUUAGGGUUAGAGUUAGAGGUCAUAUACAUGAGAGUCAAAUGACAAGUCAUAUACAUGAGAAAAAAGAAGUCAUCACAAAACCCCAGACUCAGUAAGAGCUAAUAUACAUAGCACAUUCAAAGGAGAAAAUUGUGGUGGUUAUACUAUAUAGUUAGGUUUGUUUUUUUUCGGAGAGGGGUGCUUUUGCCACAAUUACGCCACUGGUAGACGCCCCUUUCCCUCACUUUUGCAGCCCCCAGUCAACAUUGUCUUUUAUCUCCAUGACGCUG